rnacentral:rRNA from 1 species
UGGGGAAUUUUGGACAAUGGGCGCAAGCCUGAUCCAGCAAUGCCGCGUGCAGGAUGAAGGCCUUCGGGUUGUAAACUGCUUUUGUACAGAACGAAAAGUCUUGGGUUAAUACCCUGGGACCAUGACGGUACUGUAAGAAUAAGCACCGGCUAACUACGUGCCAGCAGCCGCGGUAAUACGUAGGGUGCAAGCGUUAAUCGGAAUUACUGGGCGUAAAGCGUGCGCAGGCGGUUAUGUAAGACAGAGGUGAAAUCCCCGGGCUCAACCUGGGAACGGCCUUUGUGACUGCAUAGCUAGAGUACGGUAGAGGGGGAUGGAAUUCCGCGUGUAGCAGUGAAAUGCGUAGAUAUGCGGAGGAACACCGAUGGCGAAGGCAAUCCCCUGGACCUGUACUGACGCUCAUGCACGAAAGCGUGGGGAGCAAACAGGAUUAGAUACCCUGGUAGUCCACGCCCUAAACGAUGUCAACUGGUUGUUGGGUCUUAACUGACUCAGUAACGAAGCUAACGCGUGAAGUUGACCGCCUGGAGAGUACGGCCGCAAGGUUG